rnacentral:sRNA from 1 species
GUUUCCACUCACACGGUAGGCGGCUGUGCAAUUUUGUCUGGAGUCCCCGGACCCCUCCUCAUCCUUCCCAGGGCUGCUCUGAGGCCAUUCCUCGUCAUCUAGGAGGGGUCUACAUAAAAGCAUUUAUAAACAGCUCCAAAUGGGAGCCUGGCGUGCCCACCUUUGGAGCACUUUUCUCUACUGCAGAUUUAUCUACUGCUCGUGAAAUCUCUGGAUUUAACUCUGAUGAAAGACUGGAGGCUGAAGGAGAACUUCAAUAUCAUAUAUUUUAAAGGUUGACUCACAGUUUGGAGCAAGAAUUAAAGAACCACGAACUUCAAGGUAAAACAGGCAACGGCGUUGGGGCAAGCCUCUCUGCAUCUGCAUGUCCAGCCUCUCCUGCGUGCCAGAAGUCCCCAGGCAGGAGUGUGGUGGGACAUCCGGCUGGGGUAAGGACAGGCACCCUCCCACUGUGUCAGGGCCCAGAGAGUGGGUGGAGAAGCUCUGCAAGAUACUUGUGCAAGGGCACCUUGUAGGAGCCUGCAGUCCCCACAGGGGUGUUUGUGGAUAACACUUGGGGACCCCUGGCCUUUUGGGGUCAUGGAGGGCUUGGCCUCUCACCUCAGAGCUGUGGAGGAGCCGCUUCUACAUCAGGACAUCAGAAGCUGGAACGGGAUGGCCGGCGAGGGGCCUCUUGUUGGGGUCACAGAGAUGGGUCGCAGAGAUGGCCCGUGUGGAAGGUUGGAUUCUCACCCCACCUCUGCCCCUAGAUGUCCUGGUGACCCUCCCCUCUGUAGUCUUGGUUUUUUGCAAAACAGUUAUGACCUCCUGCCAUACUGGGUACUUUGCUUAUGUAUUGUGUUUACUCUUUACUGUGUGUCUCUCCUGCUAAGGUCUACGAAGAAGGGUCUUUGUGGGUGGGGUUCUUAGAGGCAUCCCAAGUACCGGAAGCAGUCCCUGGACUAAGGGGCUCAAUAAAUAUGUUUCAUUUAUUAUUUUUUCUUUUUGAGAUGGAGUCUCGCUCUCUUGACCAGGCUGGAGUACAGUGGCACAAUCUUGGCUCACUGCAGCCUUCGCCUCCUGGGUUCAAGUGAUUUCUGGCUAAUUUUUGUAUUUUUAGUAGAGACGGGGUUUCACCAUGUUGGCCAGGCUGGUCACGAACUCCUGACCUCAAGUGAUCCACCCGCCUCAGCCUCCCAACAUGCUGGGAUUAUAGACAUGAGCCACCAUGCCUGGCCAAAUAUUUGUCAAAUUGAAUUUGUAUUUCCAUACAAAUUUUAGUCUGGAUGAAGUGCUUCAUGCCUGUAAUCCAAGCACUUUGAGAGGCUGAGGCGGGUGGAUGGCUUGAGCCCAGGAGUUUGAGACCAGCCUGGAAAACAUAGAGAAACCCCAUCUCAAUAUAAGAAGAAGAAGAAAAAGAAAAAAAAA